GGCCGUGUGUUAAGCACAAACCGAACUAUUCUUUUGCCUUUUACUAAAGAAUACCGUGUGCUUGUCGCUCUCAAUGGCAUACGCAUAUUUCUGAAGGGAUUUUAUAGAAAUCCCU